AACGAACGCUGGCGGCAUGCCUAACACAUGCAAGUCGAACGAGAUCUUCGGGUCUAGUGGCGCACGGGUGCGUAACGCGUGGGAAUCUGCCCUUUGGUUCGGAAUAACUGUUGGAAACGACUGCUAAUACCGGAUGGUGACGAAAGUCCAAAGAUUUAUCGCCAGAGGAUGAGCCCGCGUAGGAUUAGCUAGUUGGUGUGGUAAAGGCGCACCAAGGCGACGAUCCUUAGCUGGUCUGAGAGGAUGAUCAGCCACACUGGGACUGAGACACGGCCCAGACUCCUACGGGAGGCAGCGGUGGGGAAUAUUGGACAAUGGGCGAAAGCCUGAUCCAGCAAUGCCGCGUGAGUGAUGAAGGCCUUAGGGUUGUAAAGCUCUUUUACCCGGGAUGAUAAUGACAGUACCGGGAGAAUAAGCUCCGGCUAACUCCGUGCCAGCCGCCGCCGUAA
rnacentral:rRNA from 1 species